rnacentral:misc_RNA from 1 species
UGGUGAGAGCUGGUGGGUAAUSGAAAGUCACGAGUUGGCCUUGGUGCUUGACUYAUKGUGUCUUUGGCUUGAYGGCAAAGGCCUCRUAGGCUGCCUCCCGAGUGGGGACUCCGAUUUYAUUUGUGGUUAGGCCACAUCGGGGAAACUGCGACAACGUCCUCAUCUAAUAGUUUGUUGACRCAAUCACGCCGAAAGGCUAUUGGAUUGCAGAGAACGACCUAGAUNCAGGGCGGAUCAUGCUAGUCAUGAUCAACUUAGGAUUGCGCUGAUUGCUGGAUGGCUGGACGAGGGCGAGGACAUCGUUUUCGUAAGAUUGACGUGUGUCUUUUUCCGACCGCUUAAAGCGAUUGUAAGWCGCAUUYCGAGUGGGGACUUCGAUUYCAUUUGUGGUCAGGCCACAUCGGGGAAACUGCGGAAACGUGCUAAUCUAAUCGUUUGUAGACGCAAUCUCGUCGAAAGGCUACUYGAUUGYUGAGAAUGUCCCUAGAUCAGACCGGUUAUGAUGGUAUAUGUGAUCAUGCUUGCCAUGAUCAACUUAGGAUUGCRCUGAUUGCUGGAUGGCUGGACGAGGGCGRGGACAAUGAUUUCGUAAGAUUGACGUGUCUUUUUCCGACCGCCUAAAGYGAUCGUAAGCCGCCUUYCGAGUGGGGACUUCGAUUUUAUUUGUGGUCAGGCCACAUCGGRGAAACUGCGAAAACGUGCUGAUCUAAUYGUUUGUAGACACAAUCUUGUCGAAAGGCUACCCGAUUGUUGAGAACGWCCCUAGAUCAGAYCGGUUAUGAUGGUAUACGUGAUCACGAUCAUGCUUGUCAUGAUCAACUUAGGAGUGCGCUGAUUGCUGGAUGGCUGGACGAGGGCGAGGACACCGAUUUCGUAAGAUUGAUGUGUCUUUUWCCGACCGCCUAAAGCRACCGUAAGCCGCCUUYCGAGUGGGGACUUUCUUGYGGCUUUGGCUGUAGGGGGGGAACURCGUCACUGAGUYGAUUUGGUGUUUGUUGCGUUUYUUGUCGCAYUGGCCUUGUGCUGGAGUGACUUGAUUGUUGGCAAAGACCUCAUYGGUCCUCGGGUUGGUAUGAAUUUUUGUUCUUCGUAUCGUGCGGUGCAUUUUGGGGUCGUUCUUGGCUUUUGGUUGUUYGCUUGGCUUUUYAGCCUYGCAGGUGGCURUUUGCUGGGGYGGCUUCGGGGAUGUUUAUCGUAAAGGUGCAUGAGUGGUGUUUGGUUUGAUACGGGUGGUCGGCUCCCUGCUUGAGCAGGCACGACCAUGCGUACUUUCCUUUUCAGUUGUGCGACAAGGCUUGUAUCGCCUUGAUCGUAUAUGCGGGUUUCAUGUGUUGCAUACCUGAUCAAUGGCAUCRUCUUGAUMAAAAAAAGUCCCUUUUUCGUUGAGCGUUGCACUCGUGACGUYGGAYGAACCAAGUAGCACCCUCUUUGUUCCAUCCCGUCGAUGAGCAUUCGUUGACUGUUUGGCCCAUUGAGGGAUGCUUGGUCUCUUGGAUAUAGAAGCCAAAGUGGGCAUGGGUUCRUAUGAUCCCUUUGUUGCCUAUUUCGUUGAGCGUUCUCGCUUCUCUUAAACGACCGCCUUUCACGUAUGGCAYGUCCCAGCUUGUUUGGCUAAGUCGAAGAGGAAUGC